GCGGGCUGAGCAGCCGCGUGCCUGCCGCGGGGAUUUUGUUCUCCGCGGGGCAUGAGGAAAGUCCGAGCACCACAGGGCAGGAUAACGGCUAACGGCCGCCGGGGGUGACCCUAGGGAAAGUGCAACAGAGAGAUACCGCUGCGGGGCUUCCCCGCAGUAAGGGUGGAAAGGCGAGGUAAGAGCUCACCGGCGCACAGGAGACUGUGCGGCCCUGCAAACCCUAUCCGGAGCAACGCCGACCGAAGCGAUACAUUGGCCCGAUGUGCUUCAACAGGCGGCUAGAGCCAUGUGGCAACAUAUGGUCGAGAUAGAUGGCUGUUCACGACAGAACUCGGCUUACAGGCCCGCUCAU
rnacentral:RNase_P_RNA from 1 species